GGGAUUUCCCCCUCGUAGGGCGACUGAAACGGGAAGAGCCCAGCGCAAAGCCUCGCGCUCCGAUAUCUAAGGGCGCGAGGGGUGCUGCGUUCGGGAGAGGUCCUGCACGCGCUUCCGCACCGCCUAAGUUGUACAUGAAUGACUCUCAUACCCAGGGAGGGUGUUAGGCCCGUGUGGCGGUAUGCAGCCCCUGCGCGCAAGCGCGGGGGAAGGUACGGGAGUGCGGAACGGGCCUCUCCUUAGAGUCGGGUUGCCUGAAACCGCAACCUAAAGUAGGUGGUAAACUCCAUCUAAGGCUAAAUAUGACCACGAGACCGAUAGCGAACAAGUACCGUGAGGGAAAGUUGAAACAGAACCCUGUAGAGAGAGUUCAAGAGAACGUGAAACCGUUAAGAGGCUAAACGGGUGGAGAUUCGAAGAUCGAACUUGGGGGAUUCAGUCUGUCGGUGGCCGGGAGGGGGAUCGUUGGCGCUGGGCCGUUUUGGGCUCUGUCGCACAUUGUGGCGGCGGGUCCGCGGUCCUACGCGACCUCCCGACUGCUGUCCGCUCACAAGGCGGGCACGACCGGGGGGCGCGGCCCGUCCCCUAACCCUGGUGCCGGCGGGCGAUCUUCCCCCUGUAGUAGGUCGCCGCGAUGCGUUGGGAGGGCGUCUUGAGGCCCGGGCGGCAGGAACCGACGUCAAAAGCUCUCUCAUCUCAAUCCCUCUCGGGGGUUUGUUGGUGGGUCUGCGGCGGCGUCCGGGGAUCCCCUGGUGUCCUUGUCUUGCGCUCCCGACGGUCUCUCCUUGGGGCUUUCGGCGUCUCAGUCCGUCCGCGGGCGGCGCCGUCUGCCUUCGCGGCGUGUAAAGUAUCGAUGCUCUACCCGACCCGUCUUGAAACACGGACCAAGGAGUCCAACAUGUAUGCGAGUCAAUGGGCGCACUAAACCCACAGGCGCAAUGAAAGUGAUAACUGGCCCUAACUAGUUAGGGCAGGGCCGAUCCCUCGAGAUGGGGCGGCUGCCGAGAGCGCCCGGACGGAGUGACUGCUUUUCCUCCCCGGGUGCACGGCCCGCUCCUCCCGCACGCCUCCUCUUGUUAUUAAUAGGAGGAGGGGGGCGCAGGUCCGGGACUCGCCAUGACGAACGGGGAAGAAAGCGAAGGCCUUUUAGGAGGCCUUAGCCGCCGGUACCCGGAUGUGUCGGCGAGUACCUCGAGCAUAAAUGUUGGUACCCGAAAGAUAGUGAACUAUGCCUGGCCAGGAUGAAGCCAGGGGAAACCCUGGUGGAAGUCCGCAGCGAUUCUGACGUGCAAAUCGAUCGUCGGAGCUGGGUAUAGGGGCGAAAGACCAAUCGAACUAUCUAGUAGCUGGUUCCCUCCGAAGUUUCCCUCAGGAUAGCUGGCACUCGCCAAAGACGAGUUUCAUCCGGUAAAGCGAAUGAUUAGGGGUGUUGGGGACGAAAUGUCCUCAGCCUAUUCUCAAACUUUAAAUGGGUGAGGUACCGGGCUUGCUUCUCUGAAGCCCCGGGCACGAAUCGGAGUGCUUAGUGGGCCAAUUUUGGUAAGCAGAACUGGCGCUGUGGGAUGAACCAAACGUCRAGUUAARGGGCCUAAAUGGAUGCUAAUUCCGAUACCWUGGAAGGGAGUUGCUUGCUAUAGACAGCAKGACGGUGGCCAUGGAAGUUGGAAUCCGCUAAGGAGUGUGUAACAACUCACCUGCCKAAGCAAGUAACCCUGAAAAUGNNAUGGCGCUCAAGCAUCCUCCCGAUACUCGACCGCCGGGCGCACUAUUGGCUGGAAUAACAAGGAAGUCUCGAGGCCCCGGCGAGUAGGAGGAGCGCGGUGGUGAGCGUUGAAGGAUUCGGCGUGAGCCGGUCUGGAGCCUCCACUGGUGCGGAUCUUGRUGGUAGUARCAAAUAUUCGAGCGAGAACACCCUCGUUGACCGAUGCGGAGAAGGGUUCCACGCCAACAUCGUUUGGUCGUGUGUAAGUCGUCCCUAAGCUCAGGGAUAACCAUCCCCUUGUGCUAGGCGUACUGGCUUUCCUUUUACCUUUUGUAAAGAUCCAUAAUAGUAAAUAUUAUUAUUAUGGAUCCACAUUGCCACAGUGAUGAUAUAUAUACACUGCUGCUGCUGCUGCUGCUGCUGCUGCUACUACU
rnacentral:rRNA from 1 species